AGUCUCCAUGAAAGGCAGCAGUGGUGGAAAAUCAGGUAAGAUCUCUAGGCAAGGACCAGAACUCAUGGCCUGUGUAACCCAGGGUUUCUCACCCUCGGAGCAAUUGGUAUUUGGGCUGGAUAAUUCUUUGUUAUGGGAGGCUGUCUGUGAGGUGUAUGGUCUUUAGCAGUCUUUCUGGCCUCUGUCCAUAAGGAGAUAGUAGCAUUCCCUCUCCAUAUGACAGCCAAAACAGUCUCCAGACAUUGGUAAAUGUCCUCUGGGAAGCAAAAUUGCCCCUGGUUGAGAAUCACUAUUUCAGACCAUGAAAAAGGAUUUAUGUUCAUCCUAUGAGUUUUACCAAGUCCUUGGCCUUUGAGCUUUGAGCAGGAGAAUUACAGGGCCUGAUCGACAUGAGGACAACUCUGGACAUGAGAAUAAGAAGGAAAUCAGCAGUGGGAAGGCAAUGGGAAAGAUCCAGGGUCUUUGCAGAUGCAAUUCAUUAAGAUAAGAUGAAGUCAUGCUGGAUUCGGGUGGGCCUAAUAACCAGUGCCCUUAUGAGAAGAGGACAGGAUCCACAGAGAAUACCUAGAGCAGAAGGCCAUCUAAAGGCAGAAGCAGAGACUGGAGUAAUACACCCACCAGGGAAGGUAGGUUUGCCAGAGAAAAUCGCAUGCCGAGCUCACCUUGUCCGUGGACCAGCACACAAGCCAUGCCUGGACACCUCCCUCCACCAAGGCUGCCAGUCAGGGGAUUUCAGCUUCUACUCAGCAGGGGGAAGAAAAAUGGACCAUGUUAUAACAAAUAACAUGGCGGUGAACUCUGUGGAUGGUGGAGUUGUUCUGUGUGCUCCAGUUCCUACCGAGAUUGUGCCUAACUCAUCAUGAAUCUCAGCAGCAGCAGCAUGGACACCAUCACCAGCAGAAGCGUUUGCAAGUAUCCAAUUAUGGGUUAGAGACUCUGCAAGGAAAUUACAUUCACCCAGCACCUGGCCAGAACCUAAGACUUGUUUCAGCACUUCUUGCAAUUAGCAGAGGGCAGUUGCCUCCGUGGUGUGUAGCCAGUUGGGGUGAUGAGCAAUUCUCCCCACAAAAGCCUCAUGAGACAUCUGGUGACUGAGUUCGCAAUGGCACUGCCUCAGUGUGUGUGCCCAUAAAAAGGCAAGCUGACAGUACCCGUCUAGGACAGGGUUCACCAGGCUUGUCUGUGCCUGCCUCUGCUAAGAUGCUCUCAAGGGACUGCUAGAUUCCCACCCUCUUUAUUUAACAGUUCUUCCAACAGAGAGGCAGAACCUACUUCAUUCAGCUGCUUUCCUCUCUCCCCAGUUUCAGAAUUACUAUAAUUGCCCAUUGCAGUUGUUCGGCAUUCAUGUCAAUUUCAGUACAAGCUGGAGAAUUCAGGAGAAGUUGUAAGGUGUGAGGGUUGGGAGUUGCAUCCACUUGUCAGGGAAAUUGCGAUGUCCGAGGCAGGUCUGAGGCCUUUGCUACUUGGAUCGCUCCAGCAGAAUGCAUUGAGGGAGGUCUCCAGGAAGAAAUGUCCCUCCAUGGCCAAUUGCAUGCCGCAUUGGGGAGGGAGGUGUCAAACAAUGGUAAAGUGGAUAGAUAGUAAAGUGUCUUUUACCAUCUCUUAUAAAGACAAGUGACACUCUGAGAUAAAAAGCCACAAGGCCUCUUCUAAAGUUUAUAUUUACAGAGGCUCUGUGACUGCAUGGCCACUUUUCUCAGCAGCUAUAGCAGGUCUUGGAAUAACAUUGCUUCAUUCAACAUCACUUUAUUAUAAUGUUGAUGAGAAAAAAUAUCGAUUCUCAGCUAAGGCCAC
ensembl:lncRNA novel transcript